rnacentral:rRNA from 1 species
UACGAAGGGGGCUAGCGUUUUUCGGAAUUACUGGGCGUAAAGCGCACGUAGGCGGACUAUUAAGUCAGGGGUGAAAUCCCGGGGCUCAACCCCGGAACUGCCUUUGAUACUGGUAGUCUCGAGUCCGGAAGAGGUGAGUGGAAUUCCGAGUGUAGAGGUGAAAUUCGUAGAUAUUCGGAGGAACACCAGUGGCGAAGGCGGCUCACUGGUCCGGUACUGACGCUGAGGUGCGAAAGCGUGGGGAGCAAACAGG